ensembl:lncRNA
GUGGAAAUUAACUUGUAAUAUGAGGUAUUUGAAAGUAAAAUGGUUUAAGAACACACUCUUAUGGGUUUUAUUUCCUUGUAGGUAUUAUUUUUUAUCCAGUCAAAAAUGUUGAAAUAUCACUUGUCACUGUACAAAUAACAGGAAGUAGUUCAAUAUAGUUUCUCCAUAUUUACUCUCUGUGGUUUUGAGCAAGACUUUUGAGAAGCUUUCAGAAGAUAUGCUGCAGAGAGUCGGUGAGGGCGGCUCAUUGUCUAUAACGAUGAACAUAAUAAUUGCUCUUCUGUGUAUUCUGACAAAUCAGGUCAUAAGCCAAACCGAAGAUAUUUUUCCUGCAAGGAUCCUGGCCCAGCAGACAAUUAUAAGUGAAAACAGUGAACUUUAUGUAACAUGCAGCACAUUUGGAAAAAAGAAAGACUCCAAGGUUUAUGUUUAUUUGUUAAUAAAUGGGCGCAGAAUCCAGACUGAGCCCCAGAAGCAAGAUCAAAAUGACAUCCUGUUCAAGAUAUUCAGAGCUGGUCUUCAUCACAGUGGAAAUUACAGCUGUGUUUAUUCCCCCCAAAAUUAUACACUUUCUGAAGUAGUCAAGGAAGGAGACAACAUCAUUGAGAUUCUGGUCAUAGCCAAUUUUCUCCCAGCAGAUAUUUCAAUAGUUGGGCCAUCCACUGUUCACGAGGGACAUCAUGUUGAAUUCCAGUGCACAGUGUCUCAACACCUACAUACACUUGGUGGAUGUGAACUUAUCUACGCUUACCUGAGGAAGAACGACACGAUUCUCCAAGUGCAAGUCUUUAAUGUGUCUCAGAUGCUGGCAACUUUCAUCAUUGAUGGUGCAGUUUUGAGGGAUUCAGGUCCUUACAGCUGCAUAGUGUUGCCAUCUAAAUGCUUCUAUAAGCACGAGUACACAGUUCAUGGAACAAACAAUUUAUUUCUUGAGGUCAAAGUGGAUUUGGUGUCUACAGUGUUACUCCAUGGUGGAGUAAUAACCUUGAUGCUGUCACUAGGGGCGUGUCUUUGGUGGAUUUCAAACAAACUAGUUCGCUCAACUUCUUGUGGACCACGUGCAACGACUCAGCAGGCAAAUUCAGACAUGUUGGAGGAACAGCAGGAGCAGGAAGAGUGGGAAGACGAAAAAGAAGACUCUUUCAGCACAGAUUAUGAUGACGCGUGUCCGAACAAUCUGGCAGCUGAGGUUUCAUUGCCUUCUGAAAAUUUUGAAGACGCGUACACUGUUGUAGAUGAUGUGCCUGCAGAUUCAAAGCCAGCAUGCCUAUAUAGUUCAUCGAUCAAACAUAAAAAGAAAGGCAACAGAGUUCCCACCCCGAGUUCCUCUUCAGUCUGUGUUUCAGCUAAUUAAUGACUGCAGGCAAUGAUCAUGUUCAGAAUAAGUGGCAAUGUUUUCUGAAAGUAUAGUGGCUGUGAAGCAUCGACAUUCACAGAUGUUUAUGAGCAACACAGCUGAAGAAAGACUUGCUCCAACGUGCUGUUUCUUGUUUCUUCAUAAAACAUUUUGAUUAAAGGCAUGGAUGUACUAACUUUAUAAAAUAGUCUGCAUUUUGCUUUCACUCUAGAGCAUGCAGACAUUAAUGUUUUAUAUUUUUCUUUUCUUUUUGUAACCACUUAUUUCCAUCAAUCCAUCAUAAAAAUGCAUAUAAUACAACAAAAAAUAGACUUUUUUUCAAAUAUUCACUGUGUAUAGCUUUCAAAGUUAUAAUUAUUAUGUUUUUAUUGUGGUAAUUAAAUGUAUUUGUAUUCAAUAAAUUGUUUCUAAUCCACCCAGAACAUUUUUAAUAAAUUUGAGGUCACCAUGGGGACCUACAGACUGUGGACACAGGGAUCAGGGUUUUAUGGUUGUAAUUUUUAUUCAGUUGAAUGAACUUUCACAUUUGACAGUAGCUUUGAUUUGUAACAUAACUUAUCAAAACACACUGGAGAAAACUACUUCACUGAAAUCUGCAAA